rnacentral:rRNA from 1 species
CAAUAGCGUAUAUUAAAGUUGUUGCAGUUAAAAAGCUCGUAGUCGGAUUUCGGGUCGGGCCGAGCGGUCUGCCGAUGGGUAUGCACUGUUUGGCGCGGCCUUCUUUCCGGAGACCGCGGCUACUCUUAACUGAGCGGGCGUGGGAGACGGAUCGUUUACUUUGAAAAAAUUAGAGUGUUCAAAGCAGGCCUACGCUUGAAUACAUUAGCAUGGAAUAAUGGAAUAGGACUUUGGUGCUAUUUUGUUGGUUUAUGGGACCGAAGUAAUGAUUAACAGGGACAGUUGGGGCCGUUUAUAUUUCGUUGUCAGAGGUGAAAUUCUUGGAUUUACGAAAGAUAAACUUCUGCGAAAGCAUUCGGCAAGGAUGUUUUCAUUGAUCAAGAACGAAAGUUAGGGGAUCGAAGACGAUCAGAU